ensembl:ncRNA C16C2.5 ncRNA
UGUGUUGCAUUUUUCAUUUUGCUCUCCUGCGCGAGCGGCCACUUCUUCCUCCUCCUCCUCCUGCUUUUCACCCACCUUUUCCAAAGGUCGUCAAGAAAUGGGAGAGAUGAAGAGAGAAACAAGAGAGAGUUGUGGAAAAUACAGCGAACACAGACGCAGACUGAUCAAUCAUAGACUUCCUCGGGGGGUCUUUCCGAAAGACCACCAUCAACACCACUACCGGCCGUUAAUUAUUAUGCUUCCGGUAUCUGGUGACCC